AGCGUCCAGGAGGGAACGUCUUCACAAACCGGGUUCCGUGUGCGCCUGCGCCUGCCUGGAACUCGUGUGCCUCGGCCAUUGGGCCCUGGUCGCCACGUGAGCGCGGGUUUUCUGGAUUGGCCUGGGCCUUGGUAAUAAUAUUGCGCAAGAACUCUCAGCUCCUUCAGCCCCAUGUGUUCCUGUGCGCCAACGUGCUACCUGCCAUGAUGAUAAUGGACUAACCUCUGAUACUAGCCUACUGAGUUCAAUUAGUGGUUACCUGCAUUUAUGUGUCUUUGGAGGCUAAUCACUGGAGCAUGGGCAACCUACCAGCAGCCACACACUCAAAGAAAAAUGACUCUUCUCCCAGCAGCCAACAAUUAUCAACAGUUCCUGAGUUAGGGAUGAAGCCUUCUGAGCCCCUCUCCCAUCAGUGUUGUAAUGUUGACUGGAUUGAUCUU